GUGCCAGCAGCCGCGGUAAUACGGAGGGUCCAAGCGUUAAUCGGAAUUACUGGGCGUAAAGCGCGCGUAGGCGGUUUAGCAAGUUGUAUGUGAAAGCCCUGGGCUCAACCUAGGAACUGCAUCCAAAACUACUAAGCUAGAGUACGAGAGAGGAGAGUAGAAUUUCUGGUGUAGCGGUGAAAUGCGUAGAUAUCAGAAGGAAUACCAAUGGCGAAGGCAGCUCUCUGGCUCGUAACUGACGCUGAGGUGCGAAAGCGUGGGUAGCAAACAGGAUUAGAUACCCUGGUAGUCCACGCCGUAAACGAUGACAAUUAGCCGUUGGGCAGAUUUAACUGUUCAGUGGCACAGCUAACGCAUUAAAUUGUCCGCCUGGGGAGUACGGCCGCAAGGCUAAAACUCAAAUGAAUUGACGGGGGCCCGCACAAGUGGUGGAGCAUGUGGUUUAAUUCGAUGCAACGCGAAGAACCUUACCAAUCCUUGAAAUCUAGCGAAGUUCGCAGAGAUGUGAAUGUGCCUUCGGGAACGCUAUGACAGGUGUUGCAUGGCUGUCGUCAGCUCGUGUCGUGAGAUGUAUGGUUAAGUCCAGUAACGAGCGCAACCCCUAUCCUUAUUUGCCAGCGCGUAAUGGCGGGAACUAUAGGGAGACUGCCGGGUGAAACCCGGAGGAAGGCGGGGACGAGGUCAAGUCAUCAUGGCCCUUAUGGAUUGGGCUACACACGUGCUACAAUGGGAAGUACAGAGGGAUGCGAAAGCGCGAGCUGGAGCCAAACCCUUAAAACUUUUCUUAGUCCGGAUUGGAGUCUGCAACUCGACUCCAUGAAGUUGGAAUCACUAGUAAUCGCGAAUCAGAAUGUCGCGGUGAAUACGUUCUCGGGCCUUGUACACACCGCCCGUCACAUCAUGGAAGUGGGUUGCACCAGAAGUGGUUAGUCUAACCUUCGGGAAG
rnacentral:rRNA from 1 species